AGCGAACGCUGGCGGCAGGCUUAACACAUGCAAGUCGAACGGGCUUCUUCGGAAGUCAGUGGCAGACGGGUGAGUAACACGUGGGAACGUGCCCUUCGGUUCGGAAUAACUCAGGGAAACUUGAGCUAAUACCGGAUACGCCCUUUUGGGGAAAGGUUUACUGCCGAAGGAUCGGCCCGCGUCUGAUUAGCUUGUUGGUGGGGUAACGGCCUACCAAGGCGACGAUCAGUAGCUGGUCUGAGAGGAUGAUCAGCCACACUGGGACUGAGACACGGCCCAGACUCCUACGGGAGGCAGCAGUGGGGAAUAUUGGACAAUGGGCGCAAGCCUGAUCCAGCCAUGCCGCGUGAGUGAUGAAGGCCUUAGGGUUGUAAAGCUCUUUUGUUCCGGGACGAUAAUGACGGUACCCGGAAAGA
rnacentral:rRNA from 1 species